CUGGAAUUCCAGACCAUUGCAGUGUGUGCCAUGGACCACAGAGGGGAAUUCCCGAGGCUCUCGGGGUGCUGGUUCUGCCCUGCCUCUCGAGGGAGCUGCUGGACAUUUUCAAGCACAUUCCCAGCCCGAAGCAGAGGCAAGAAGAGGGAAGUGAGGAGCUGACAGAAUCCCGGAAUGCUGGCAGCUGGAAGGACCCUGAGCAGGUGUUAUGAGCCCAUGAGGGAGAGAGGCCUCUGCCCGAAUGAAGGUGAAAAGGAGACCAUAUGAGGACAACAUAGGGAUUUUAUUUAACAUGGAUUUUAUUUACCAAGAAAGGGGAGGUAGAGCAGUAGAAAAACAUAGGAAAGAUGUCUCAGAGAGAGAGCAGAAGAUAACUAGUUGGAACUAGAGGACCUUAAGGUCCUUUCCUUCAUUCUGUGGUUGUGUGGAUGUUUAUUUUAAUUUGAUACUAUUAUUUACUUCUACAACUGUUUCAUCUUCUUCUUUAUCUUAUUCUUAUUAUUAUUUACUACUACUGUUUAUUUUUCUCCUUCAUUUUCUUACUAUUUUUAUUUUUCUUAUUACUACUACUACUACUAUUUCUCCUUAUCUUCUCGUAAUUCUCGUUCAACUUACUAUUCUUAUUUCUUUUCUUGUUCUUAUUUACUACUAUUAGUUCUGCAUCUUAUUCUUAUUCUUAUUCUUAUUCUUAUUCUUAUUCUUAUUCUUAUUCUUAUUCUUAUUCCUAUUCCUAUUCUUAUUCCUAUUCUUAGUCCUAUUCUUUUUUUUUUGUUUCUUUCUUUCUUUCUUUGUUUUGGGUUUUUUGUUUGUUUGUUUGUUUUGUGAGUGGGGAGGUUGUGGUCUUUUUUCUUACUAGUACUGUUUCUUAAAUUCAGCCUUCACUGUUUUGGAAGAAUCAUUUGUGUCACAGUCCUGCAGGGACAUCCCUGGAGAAACACCUCCUGUGCGUGCCCAUUCCUGUGUGGGCACAAUCCCAAAGGACCAGCACGUAAUCCUUUCAGGAUGAGAGAAAAUGGCCUUCCAUUCCACCAGGAGAAGUUCAGAUUGAAUAUUAGAACAAGUUUUCCCUGACACAGUGGUCAGGUACUGUCAGAAGUUGCCCAGGGAGGUGGUGGAGUCGCCAUCUCUGGAAGUGUUGAAGAGUUGUCCAGAUGUGGCACCUGGGGACAUGGUUUUGGGGUGAUGAUGGCAGUGUGGAGUGCCGGUGGGACUGCAUGACCAUCAAGAUCUCUUCCCGCCUUGAUGAUUCUCUGGGAUUCACCCCUGAGCCACCCGGCACCAACUGUCCCCAUGGCUGCAGCUUUGGGGCUGGCCACACCGUAACUUUAGGCCUUGGGGAGAUGCCCCUGGACGGGAGCAAAGCAGCCGGGGAUUGCUGGGCCUGGAGCACACGCCCGGGCAGAGGCAGCCCCGUGUGGCUCCCUCAGGACGCCGGGGAGGCUCCGGGCCAGCCACACCUGUGGGGCCCGGCCUGGAGCCAUCAGCGGGCCCUGGUUGUCCGGCUGUCCCUCAGGCAGGGCCAGCAAAUGGCGCCCGCCUGAAGCGGGACCGGCGUUUCUUGGGGGAGCCAGCUGCUCCCUCAGGGCCUGGGAAAAGCACAAAAAGCAGCUGAGCUGGGCAGGCACCGGGCUCUCUGUCCCUGCCUCUGGCACCUGCUCCUCAGGAGAAGCCGCCGUCCUCCGAGGAGGCCCUGGGCUGCCAGCGAGGAGGCGAGGCCAAGAGCGGCACUUGGGGCACGGCUCAGCUGCCCCGCGCUCAGCCCAGGCCUGGGAGCCCGUCUUCUGCAAAAACUCCCAGUCUUUGCUCCCCGUCUUCUUCUUCUUCACUCAGCUCAAAGCUCAGCUUGUGCCACGUCCUUCUGCUGCAGCAAGGGCUUGACCCCAUUGCUGUGGACGCUCACGUGUUCCCAGUUGUCCUGAACAAGCUCUUUGUCACCAUCAUUGUCCCAACAGGACUGCACGGAGGGUCUGCUAUUUGAUAGUCUGGUCUACUGUUCCACCACAGUGAUCUUAGGAGGUUACACAUAAAGAGUAUUUUUAAACAGUUAAAAGAUUUUGACCGUUCAGUUCUAAUAUUUUCUUGGUAAAAAAGAAACUAAACUCCUUCUACUUUGAUAUUGAUUUACCAGGGAACCUUGAGUCCGUCAGAAAUUUGAAAUGUGUUUCUAUUCUUCAGUAACUUUCUAUUUUUGAUGAAUGCUCAUCCUCAGCACGUUUGCAGGGGACAGGAAGCUGAGCAGGGCAGGGACACCACGGAAGGAAGGGACAAGCUCAGGAACAGGGACCUGGACAAGCUUGACAGAUUGUCUGCCUCUGUGCUCCAGAGUCUGUUUUCCACAUGAAAGAAAGAGAAGGUUCAGAAGAGGCCAUUCAUGCAGUCUAACAGGAGGUUUGAAACAAGUGCUAUGUCAGGAGAGUGUAGCAGUGUAAAACAUGCUUAGUUUGUCAAAACUACACUUUGGCCAGCAGAGCUUUUUGCAGCAUCCCAGGAGUCUGUGUGAUGCCACCUUUACCUGCAAGGUGGCUCUAACCAUGUUUUCAUUGAGAUUUUAUAGCCUCAGCCUGUGGUGGAACCACUGCAUCCCCCUCACUGACAGCUCUGCUGGCAGAAGCAGACCUGGAAAUCUUCAUUCCUGAAAUGUGAUCCCUCAGCAUGUCCCCCCAUGGAAGAGGGGACCACCUCCCCUUUCACAUGCAGCAUUUCAGCCUUUCUCCCAGAGACAGAGCAUCCUCUUCUGAGUCUUGCUCCAUAUAAAAAAAGAGAGCGCCAGGGUCCCCUGAGGUGCUGAUGCUGGGACUCGCCAGGAGUGUGCGCUUCUCCCGGGCAGUACAAACACCCGUGAGCCCCUCUGACAAACGCUUGAGGACACUCAGACCAGCUGGCUUUGGGAAGGUGGGACAUCAGGAAGGACUUGCCUCCUGCCUGCAGGGCCUGCAAACCCCAGCAUGGUCUCUUCCUUCCAGCAGAAGCAUCCCUGGAUGUCAGUAAAUCCCAGCAGGUUUUUAACACCAGUGGACUUCUCUGAGAGCUGCAGGUGGCUGGGUGAGAGCUGAGCCCUCAACUAUCAGCUCAAGCUCCAUGACACUGAAGAGCUGAAUCCAUCCCAGAUCCUGGACUGACAACACAUUAAUAAACUGUUAAGAAUUUAUCAAUUUAAAGCAAAUUCUUUGUCAGCAGAAACUGACUUUCAAUGUACUCUUUCAACACAUGCAAAAUGGAAGGGAAAUAAAAGUUGUGUAUGUUGCUUCAUUGCAACCAAUACCUUGAAAAUUUUUAUUGCCAGAGUAUUUCAGGACUGGAAACAGAAAUAUUAUCCCUGUUGGUCUAAUAGUAAGGAUGCUUCUGGGUUUGUAUAUUAAAUGAUAGAUGGAAAUACCCUAUGAAUGGAAGAGUAAACAUUGCUGGAUUUGUUUGCACACCAACUGUCUUAGAAGGGGACAGCUGGAAUUGGAACAAAAAUAACCACAAAAACAGGUGCAAUGCUCAUGCCAUUACCAGUCACUUCUAAUAAUUUUGAUUUGUUUCUUGAGUUUUAUGUCAAACACAGCUUUUUGUUCUCUGGAGCAUUUUCUGUGAACCAUUCUAGCAGAAGUCAGUCUGUGCUGAAACAGUGAUGGGGAGAGGACUGUGUGUCAGCAUUAACUGGAUGCAGGAAGAGCUGGAAUUGUUCUGAUCUGGAAGAAGAAGGAGAGAGCCAUAUCUUUGGGGAUUUAAGACUGUGAAUGGGUCAGAGAGCAGCUCUCCACCCUCUCUUUGCCUUUUCCACAGCUGUGAGGGGCAGAGAUACUCCACAGAGGGACAGACCAUGAGCCCCUCGUCCCCAUUUUCAAGGAGAGGCCCAAAUCCUCCUGAGCUCAGAGUGCCCUUUUAACCCCUGAUCCAAAUGUUUGGCAGAGCUGGUCCUUCAGCUCCGCCCUGUGUUCCACCUGAGCCAUUGCCCUGCUCCCUCUCAGAGGUCAGUGCACACACACAGUAUAAAAAGUGCAGGUGGGUGCUCAGCACAUCCUCUGUGCAAAUCUUAUCCUUUCCCACUGGAUUUGUGGUGUCCCACUGACACCAUUCCUUGACACCCAGGCAGGGAUUUGCACAAAACUUGGGGGAUAUUGAUUCUUGAGACCUUGUUGCCUUUGUUAAAUGUUGGUGAAACUGCUCAGUGCGUCCAACCACACUGCACAAGGCAAAAAUGGCAAAAGACAGCAAAUGUGGGCUCCAAGAAGCUGAGAAAAUUGGCCUAAGUGCUCUCAAAGACAGUGUCGAGAGAGGAACUGUGUAAACCCCAUUCCCAAAAGAUUAAAAGCUCAUUCUCUGCUUUAUGGGAAUCCACACGCUGCAUUCCCACACAAGGGGAAAGAGGGAAUGAAGAGGGAAAUUCAUGCAGCAAAACUGCCUUGGGUGAGAGUGCUGCAAAACCAGAAACAUUGCUGUGUCUUCUCAAAGAUCUGGCUCAGUCCAGUUUUAGAUGGAGACACUUCCACAAAUCACUGAUUGUACACGAAGCAGGAUUUGGGCUGUGCUCAAGUUUUUAAGAGAUUGUCUGGAGCAGUUGCUUUUCCUAUAUUUUCCAGUAAAAGGUUCAGUGAGGCACUUAUUAAAACAAACAACCCCCACUAUUUUAGUAAUGUACAAGUAGCACUUACAUCCAACAAACAGAACAAAAGAUGCUCUCUUACAAACUCACUUCCUACUCUGCAGACACAAUGGUUUGUACAAUAACAACACCUCUGCCAAGAGAUUCCAGUAGAAGACACAGUGACUCAAAAGAAACAAAGUGUAAGUUUAUUGGACGUCAACAUCUCUUAGUCAAGAUCUAAGUAAAGAAAACACACAGUAGAAAAAGUUGUACAAAGCAGCAAUGGAUUUUACAUUACAUUAAAGAAAAAGUUGCCUUAAGCUAUUAAGUCUCAGUCCUAAAAAAAGUAAAAACCCAUCCUGGUGUAUUGAACAGAUAUAGAAUGUAUAAGGUAUACAGGAUUAUAAACCCAGAGUUGCUUGUCUUACUUCUACAAUCCUUUAAAAUGACAAGUGAUUUUGUGUAACUAACCGGAAAACUCUCUAGAAAAUAUAUUGGAUAAUUCCAAUUUCUAGUAGGAAACUACUCCCCUGUACCCAAGCACUUAAAGUGAUCCCAUUUUCCUGCUUUUUAAAAAGGGACACUGUCAAGAAUAAGCCUUAAAAUGUGUACUUUAUGUGUAUUUUGCACUUAACGCUGAAAAGAGGGUUUGUUCUGGUUUUUCUGUACAUAUUUGAAUUAAAGCUGCUGCUGCAAUAGUGGGAAGCUUGUGUCUUUAAAAGAUAAUAUGUACCACUGAGAGUGUGGAAAAGGAAAAAAAAAAAGGAUUGAGUCCUUUAUUCUGGAAUAGUGAGAGGAAAAGCAACAUGAAAAAUCAGCUGAACCCACAGAAUUCUGUUACAUUUUUCAGACAUUCUCACAACAACUGAGGCUGCCCAUAAUAGGAUUUUCAUGCCCAAGCAGCUCAAGUGUUAUGACUCAAUUUGUUUUUAAAUUCUUCAAUAUUAUUUAUUAAUAUAAAGUAUUUCUAAUAUAGGUAUGUUAAUUUUUUGUAUCCAGCCUUUCUCUUGAUAGUGUCCCUUUUCGUAGAGCAGUUACAGUACAGUUUUUCACAAGUCAUUUUAAAUAAACAAGAAUCAAUUACAUUAAAAAUACUAUCAGGCUGUGUUCAGCAACAACAGAAAAAAUAUUUUAACACUGAUUCAAUAACAGCAACACUAAAAAAACCCCCAACCAAAACAAACAGAUAAAAAAAAACUCCAACAAAAAACAACCCCUUAAACUUGUUUUGAUUUUUAUCUAAAUCUUCUGGUAGGAAAAUGUAAACAAUUUUAUUGAACAGUAUAGGCACAUGCCAGAUUACAGGCUCAUGCCAGGUAUUUGCAGCCUCACUGUCAGAGCCAAGAAAUUAGGCAUAGUCUGUCCUUAUCCCAUGGGAGGAACUCUUUUUAACACUGGAAGCUUGGAUCAGCAACAGAGAACACGCAGAGCUUUGGAGCAAACCCACGUGUCCCACUUGGGGCAAAAUAAACAACAUCAGGCAAAAAAAAAUCUCCUGGAUGUUCCUGCCUGAACAGGAAACGCAGGCCAAGCCUCUUACAGCUGCUUGGGGUCACAGAUAAUGCAACAUCUCAUUCUGGAAACAGCCCAGGGUGACUCUGGGCUCACCCUCUCCACCAGGUUAUCUCCUCCAUCACCUGCCAGGUGUUGGCUUUGCCUCACCAACAACCCAAAACCAGAGACAGUUCUGUUACUGGUUUGUGUUUUGCUGCCAUUGCUCACUUGCAAGGUUGGUCAUGGUCCCAAUUCAGCAAAGAACUGGCACAGAACAAUUUAAAAUAAAAAAAAAAAUAAGACUGAUCUUAAUGGACUUAAGAUAGGCUUAGAGGCUUUGCCAACACAGUGCCUGAAAGGAAAAAAAAGUCCCAAACCAAAAUACGUUUCAUGGCUCAACACUGCUCCCCUGAAAUGCAACACUAGUUUCCACUCCCACUGAAGCAGGCUAGUUCUCUGAGAUUUAUCUGAUAGGUUAUAAAAAUAGCAAAAAAAGGACAGAAUUAUAGAUUCUAAUCUAUAUAUUAAAACAUCUGCACGUUCCUGUCACAAAUUUUAGAAAAAAAAGCAAAACACUUUUUUAUAUUCAACAAGACCUCUAACUUUUUGUCACUUCAAUACACAGCUAUAAAAUUAAACAAAAUAUGAUGAAAACAGGCUUUUGCAUCAAUAAAUUUGCCUUUUAUUUUGGCUGUGGCCAAACUAGACACUCUUCAAAAGACCUUUAUUUAUAAACAAGCAACUAACAUUUUUUUCCCAUAAUUUAAAUUUUAAGACAUAUAUUAAAGUUAUAUAAGUGGAAGCAUAUUUAUUUCGUAUCCUCCAAAAUAAACACUUCUAUCAAGGGCUUUUUAAGAUACUGUAUAAAAGCUAAUAGAAAACCAGAACUGCUAUAUAAACAUCUCAUAUUUAAAUUUUAGAGAUCCUGAAUUCCUUUACUAAACAACAGGAACCAAAUGUAAAAAAAAAAAAGAAAUUAAAAAAAAUCACACAGAACACGCUCAAAGUGGAAAACAAAACUUUAAAAACCCCCUCAAAACCAAAGCAACUGAAGAAAAACUUAGGAGGCUACUUAGACCAAAAAUAUUUUAUGGAUUCUUUAUAACACCUAGUACACUAGAAAAAAGAUUAGGGUUUCUUCAAAGAUGUUGCACAAGGUUUUGAUUUAAAGUGUGUAGAAUUUAUCAUCAUAGCACAGAGCAAAAUCCCAGCUGGAAGUGAGAUGGCUGUGACCCAGCUGAGCUGGUUGCCACCUUCCUUCCGAAAGCACACUGAAUUUUAAAAGGCUAUAGCUCAACUUUCAGGCUGUUGUGCAGAGGAAAACUUAGGAACCAUUCUACAAAAACACGUUCAUAUUUUAUACACACAGAUUUUUUUAAAACAUAUAUAAAGGGUACUUAGCAAGGCUUUAUGUUUUUCUGAUUUUUAAAACCAGGUUUAAGUGCAAUAACCAUUUUAUUCUGAAAUUGUUUCUGGUAAGAAAGAAAUUUCUAGUUUUAUUAGGUGGAAUAAAAAAAUCAGUAAGUGGAAAUGUCACUAUUAAGCAAGUACCUUGUUUUAACUGCAAUGCCACUGAAAGAGUUUAACUGAUACUCAAGCAAAUUAGCCUAAUCAUACUCAGCCACAGUUUGCCUGAAAGAGGACAAAAAAGAACAACAUGUUAUUUUCAGAGGUGUCUAGUAGCAAUUUUAGAUCAUAAGAAAAACGAAGCAGAAGAGGCUUGAAAGUAACAUUGCAAUUUUUUUGGUAGCUGAAAAAAAUCAGG